GAGCUCUACUCUAAGAGGUUUUGUGUUGGAGCUGAAGAGCUGCUGUGUUCUCUCUGUUCUUCAGUUAGUACGAGUGAAAAUAAUGUUCCUGCUUUUCUUCUGGAUGAUGAUGAUCAUCUCCUUUCAACCAGGAUCCUCUGAGGAUUUACUGACAUCAUUUAAAGAUGUUCUUCUGGGUUUGGAAGGAGACACUGUGACUCUGUCCUGCAACUAUUCAGGAACCACACAGAUGCUGUUCUGGUACCAACAGAUGUCCAGUUCAUCUCCACAGCUGGUCACCUCAGGAAAUUCAGACACAACAGGAAGGUUGUCUUUGAAACAUGAAAAACCAACAAAGAAGUUUCAUCUGCUGAUCUCCUCUGCUGCAUUGACAGAUUCUGCUGUGUACUACUGUGCUGUGAGGCCCACAGUGACAGGAAACACCAGAACUCUGUACAAAAACCUGCAG